rnacentral:rRNA from 1 species
UACGGAGGGGGCCGGCGUUGUUCGGAAUUAUUGGGCGUAAAGGGCGCGCAGGCGGCCAGGCAAGUCGGAGGUGAAAUCCCUCGGCUCAACCGAGGAAUUGCCUCCGAUACUGCAUGGCUUGAGUCCCGGAGAGGGUAGCGGAAUUCCCAGUGUAGCGGUGAAAUGCGUAGAUAUUGGGAGGAACACCAGUGGCGAAGGCGGCUACCUGGGAGGGUACUGACGCUGAGACGCGAAAGCGUGGGGAGCGAACAGG